rnacentral:lncRNA from 1 species
GUCAGUAUGUAUGUGUCGUGGGUUUGAAAGGGGAUUUAGGGUUCUCACCUAAAUCCAUCAUCAACACAAGAAUUCUGCAUAAAUUGGGGUGAUUUAAGCUGGAAAUCGAGUGCAUGAGACAUCAUCUACACUUGUCUAGGUGUCCUUGAGAUAAGGAACGUGUCAAGGAGAGCUCAAGCAUAGGAGGAUAACGGGUCAAAAUAAGGCAAGGUGACAAAUACACUUAUUGGAGUAUUCAAGGUCGCACGGACUUAACAUCAUUAUGAAGUAAAUGAGGAUUGAAGAUCGGGUCAAAGAGCGAGGAUUGUACGGGAAGGGUAGUCACAUAACUGGUGAUUUUAUAUUACAUUUGAUGCGAUAAUCAAGAAUGAACGUUGUAAAUCUUUUGAAGAAAGUGUUUGUUAUUUUUAAACGAACCUUCAAGUAAGUCAUAUGAGUAAUUAUGAAAGAAAUUUUAAGUCUCUACUUUCCGCUGUGUCUAUAUGGUUAAAUCGUGAUAUGGGUGUUUCAAGUUGGUAUCAGAGCCUAGGUUUGAGCGAAAUCAAGUACAAGGAAGUAAGUACUUGAACUCAAACCCGUGUGCUUAUGUGACUAGUAACCCGUACAAUUCGAGACUCGAUUAAGACUGGAAGGUAAACUUUAAUACAAGUAAGUAUGUGAGAUGUUACUAACCAUGAUGAAUGUUGUAAGGUAAGCGUGCAUGGACAAUGAGGAUGUUACACAGUCGCGGACUAGCAUGGAGAUAAGGCAAGUGAUAAGGCAAGCAAUGGACCUCAGGAACGUGUCAAGGAGAGCUCAAGCAUAGGAGGAUAACGGGUCAAAAUAAGGCAAGGUGACAAAUACACUUAUUGGAGUAUUCAAGGUAUACUAUUAGUGUCCUUGUGAAGGUUUAAGGAAUUGGAAUGCAAGAUCGUACACGGAAUGAGGAUUCGAAAAGAUUAGCAUGAGAUGAAGGUCGCACGGACUUAACAUCAUUAUGAAGUAAAUGAGGAUUGAAGAUCGGGUUAAAGAGCGAGGAUUGUACGGGAAGGGUAGUCACAUAACUGGUGAUUUUAUAUUACAUUUGAUGCGAUAAUCAAGAAUGAACGUUGUAAAUCUUUUGAAGAAAGUGUUUGUUAUUUUUAAACGAACCUUCAAGUAAGUCAUAUGAGUAAUUAUGAAAGAAAUUUUAAGUCU